GACAGGAUGCUUCCGAAAUACAAUGUCCCCUGUCACUCUACAGAAAAUAGAACAACUAUUAUGAGCGAGCAAGACUAAAAAAGUAAAGGGAAUUGACUUGGAUGAUUCUGCUAUUUGAAAUGGUUUCUCACAUGAAAAGCAAUGACUAUUAGGGAGGAGAAUCCACCUUGCUCAAUGAUAAGACACGGGGCAUAAAAAUGUAUUUUAGGAAGAAGUAUAGGAGAUCGUUAGCUUGUUUGUAUAGGAGAUCGUUAGCUUGUUUGUAUAGGAGAUCAUUACCUAAUAUAGAUAUGCUUAUUGUAUUUUUACAAUAACUUGCAGUUGAGACAGAUCUUCAAUCAGGGGCACAAUAUAAAUAUGAGGGCAGAGAAUCUUCAAAGGUUAGAAAUUGAGCUAAGGUAUUGAGGCAUUGCACAAUCAUAGGCUGUGAUGGCACCCUUCUAAGGAGUCAAAAUUUGUUCUGUUUGUUUACUUUGAGCCUCACGUCAAGAGGCAUGUAUUGUUAUAUGUUCAUGUAGCAUGCUUUGAAAUAUAAUAUAGUUUUUGUUAUCAAUUCUUUCAAAAUUCUAUUUGUUGUUUGCAGGAAAGGACUUAGCAGAGCAUUGUAGAAAUGAAUAUUCUCGGGGGCCCAACUUUAUACUUUGGUUUAUUGCUGAAAUUGCUAUAGUGACCGCUGACAUUCCUGAAGUAAUUGGUACAGCCUUUGCAUUGAACAUGCUCUUCAACAUACCUGUUUGGAUUGGUGUUAUUCUGACACGAUUCAGCACAUUGUUCCUCUUAGCAUUACAGCAACAUGGGGUAGUUUUCUAUAUUCCAUACAACCCUCUCCCUAGGGUUACCUGAUAUCAUGCUAUGGUUUGAAAGGAUGCACGUAAAUUGUUAUAUCCUGAACAAAUCUACGGUUGUCCUUCCAUAUAUGCUAUUAAGACUUUGGAGAAUUUGAAGUCUGCUAUUAAGACUACUAAGAGGCUCUGUGCUGUUAUGUUGCACACGGUUGGUGCAGAGAUGCAGGUUGUUAACAAAAGUGAGACGCCUAUUUCACUUCAGGCUGACGAUCAGGUUGUUCUAACUCCUGACUAAGGACAAGAAGCCACUUCAAAGAUACUGCAUAUCAAUUUUGAUGGACUAGCCAAGGUUCAUUAAAGUUUUCAACCUUCUUAUGAUAUCACGUGACUGACUUGAUUUCGUGUACAGUAUUUCUAUGAAUAUUAUUAACCCGAAUGAUUUAUUUUAGUCAAUUGUACUCUCUGCUGCCUAUG